rnacentral:rRNA from 1 species
UACGUAGGCAGCGAGCGUUGUUCGGAGUUACUGGGCGUAAAGGGUGUGUAGGCGGUUGUUUAAGUUUGGUGUGAAAUCUCCCGGCUCAACUGGGAGGGUGCGCCGAAUACUGAAUGACUUGGAGUGCGGGAGAGGAAAGUGGAAUUCCUGGUGUAGCGGUGAAAUGCGUAGAUAUCAGGAGGAACACCGGUGGUGUAGACGGCUUUCUGGACCGUAACUGACGCUGAGGAGCGAAAGCGUGGGGAGCGAACAGG